rnacentral:rRNA from 1 species
AUACGUAGGUGGCGAGCGUUAUCCGGAAUUAUUGGGCGUAAAGGGUGCGUAGGCGGCCUGAAAAGUCUGUGGUGAAAUCGUGGGGCUCAACCCCAUCAAGCCCCAGAAACUAUCAGGCUGGAGAACAGCAGAGGCAAGCGGAAUUCCAUGUGUAGCGGUAAAAUGCGUAGAUAUAUGGAGGAACACCGGUGGCGAAGGCGGCUUGCUGGGCUGUUACUGACGCUGAGGCACGAAAGCGUGGGGAGCAAAUAGGAUUAGAUACCCUAGUAGUCCACGCCGUAAACGAUGAAUACUAAGUGUUGGAGAAAUUCAGUGCUGCAGUUAACGCAAUAAGUAUUCCGCCUGGGGAGUACGCACGCAAGUGUGAA